rnacentral:sRNA from 1 species
GUCGACAGAUGCGGCUUUGUGUGCACGCGGCUCGGAAACAGGUA